GUGAACGCUGGCGGUAGGCCUAACACAUGCAAGUCGAACGGCAGCACAGUAAGAGCUUGCUCUUACGGGUGGCGAGUGGCGGACGGGUGAGGAAUACAUCGGAAUCUACUUUUUCGUGGGGGAUAACGUAGGGAAACUUACGCUAAUACCGCAUACGACCUACGGGUGAAAGCAGGGGAUCUUCGGACCUUGCGCGAUUGAAUGAGCCGAUGUCGGGUUAGCUAGUUGGCGGGGUAAAGGCCCACCAAGGCGACGAUCCGUAGCUGGUCUGAGAGGAUGAUCAGCCACACUGGAACUGAGACACGGUCCAGACUCCUACGGGAGGCAGCAGUGGGGAAUAUUGGACAAUGGGCGCAAGCCUGAUCCAGCCAUACCGCGUGGGUGAAGAAGGCCUUCGGGUUGUAAAGCCCUUUUGUUGGGAAAGAAAAGCAGCAGGUUAAUACCCCGCUGUUCUGACGGUACCCAAAGAACAAGCACCGGCUAACUUCGUG
rnacentral:rRNA from 1 species